rnacentral:lncRNA from 1 species
AUCAUAAGGAAUAGUAUAGGUACAUUUAAUACAUCAUAUUUAUUUGUUUUUGGACAGAUAAGAUGUUCAUGCUGUACGUUUCAAUUGGUAUUGCUGCAUUAGUGGUGGUGGUAAUACUAGUUCCCAUGUCAGCUUGCCUAUUGACUAAGAAGGGUGGGAGGAGUCAUAGUGACCAGCCAGUAGCCAGUAUACAGGACAUGGAUGCAGCCAAGUGUGCUUCCUCAGAUCCCUCAACAUCAAGGAAAGAGCAGAAAGACACCAGCAGUGAAAUCCUCACAAACUACUACACCAACGAUCAGCUAUAUGGCAACAUGGAGGCUGAAGAAGAUGGCGACCCAUGCGAAUGUGUUGGUGGAGACGAUGCAAUCUAUGGUAACAUUUGA